rnacentral:rRNA from 1 species
GAUGAACGCUGGCGGCGUGCCUAAUACAUGCAAGUCGAGCGAACGGACGAGAAGCUUGCUUCUCUGAUGUUAGCGGCGGACGGGUGAGUAACACGUGGAUAACCUACCUAUAAGACUGGGAUAACUUCGGGAAACCGGAGCUAAUACCGGAUAAUAUUUUGAACCGCAUGGUUCAAAAGUGAAAGACGGUCUUGCUGUCACUUAUAGAUGGAUCCGCGCUGCAUUAGCUAGUUGGUAAGGUAACGGCUUACCAAGGCAACGAUGCAUAGCCGACCUGAGAGGGUGAUCGGCCACACUGGAACUGAGACACGGUCCAGACUCCUACGGGAGGCAGCAGUAGGGAAUCUUCCGCAAUGGGCGAAAGCCUGACGGAGCAACGCCGCGUGAGUGAUGAAGGUCUUCGGAUCGUAAAACUCUGUUAUUAGGGAAGAACAUAUGUGUAAGUAACUGUGCACAUCUUGACGGUACCUAAUCAGAAAGCCACGGCUAACUACGUGCCAGCAGCCGCGGUAAUACGUAGGUGGCAAGCGUUAUCCGGAAUUAUUGGGCGUAAAGCGCGCGUAGGCGGUUUUUUAAGUCUGAAGUGAAAGCCCACGGCUCAACCGUGGAGGGUCAUUGGAAACUGGAAAACUUGAGUGCAGAAGAGGAAAGUGGAGUUCCAUGUGUAGCGGUGAAAUGCGCAGAGAUAUGGAGGAACACCAGUGGCGAAGGCGACUUUCUGGUCUGUAACUGACGCUGAUGUGCGAAAGCGUGGGGAUCAAACAGGAUUAGAUACCCUGGUAGUCCACGCCGUAAACGAUGAGUGCUAAGUGUUAGGGGGUUUCCGCCCCUUAGUGCUGCAGCUAACGCAUUAAGCACUCCGCCUGGGGAGUACGACCGCAAGGUUGAAACUCAAAGGAAUUGACGGGGACCCGCACAAGCGGUGGAGCAUGUGGUUUAAUUCGAAGCAACGCGAAGAACCUUACCAAAUCUUGACAUCCUUUGACAACUCUAGAGAUAGAGCCUUCCCCUUCGGGGGACAAAGUGACAGGUGGUGCAUGGUUGUCGUCAGCUCGUGUCGUGAGAUGUUGGGUUAAGUCCCGCAACGAGCGCAACCCUUAAGCUUAGUUGCCAUCAUUAAGUUGGGCACUCUAAGUUGACUGCCGGUGACAAACCGGAGGAAGGUGGGGAUGACGUCAAAUCAUCAUGCCCCUUAUGAUUUGGGCUACACACGUGCUACAAUGGACAAUACAAAGGGCAGCGAAACCGCGAGGUCAAGCAAAUCCCAUAAAGUUGUUCUCAGUUCGGAUUGUAGUCUGCAACUCGACUACAUGAAGCUGGAAUCGCUAGUAAUCGUAGAUCAGCAUGCUACGGUGAAUACGUUCCCGGGUCU